rnacentral:rRNA from 1 species
CUUCCGGAGCUAACGCGUUAAGUAGACCGCCUGGGGAGUACGGCCGCAAGGUUAAAACUCAAAUGAAUUGACGGGGGCCCGCACAAGCGGUGGAGCAUGUGGUUUAAUUCGAUGCAACGCGAAGAACCUUACCUGGUCUUGACAUCCACGGAAGUUUUCAGAGAUGAGAAUGUGCCUUCGGGAACYGUGAGACAGGUGCUGCAUGGCUGUCGUCAGCUCGUGUUGUGAAAUGUUGGGUUAAGUCCCGCAACGAGCGCAACCCUUAUCCUUUGUUGCCAGCGGUUAGGCCGGGAACUCAAAGGAGACUGCCAGUGAUAAACUGGAGGAAGGUGGGGAUGACGUCAAGUCAUCAUGGCCCUUACGACCAGGGCUACACACGUGCUACAAUGGCGCAUACAAAGAGAAGCGACCUCGCGAGAGCAAGCGGACCUCAUAAA